rnacentral:rRNA from 1 species
AGGAUGAACGCUGGCGGCGUGCCUAAUACAUGCAAGUCGAACGAGGUCUUCGGACCGAGUGGCGAACGGGUGAGUAACACGUUGGUACCUACCCCGAAGUGGGGAAUAACUGCCCGAAAGGGUGGCUAAUACCGCAUAAUACCGCAAGGUUAAAGCAGUAAUGCGCUUCGGGAGGGGCCUGCGUCCCAUUAGCUAGUUGGUAGGGUAAUGGCCUACCAAGGCGACGAUGGGUAGCUGGAUCGAGAGGUUGACCAGCCACACUGGGACUGAGAUACGGCCCCAGACUCCUACGGGAGGCAGCAGUAAGGAAUCUUCCACAAUGGACGAAAGUCUGAUGGAGCAACGCCGCGUGCAGGAUGACGGCCUUCGGGUUGUAAACUGCUUUUAUAUGGAAGAUUAUGACGGUACCAUAUAGAAUAAGGACCGACUAACUACGUGCCAGCAGCCGC